rnacentral:rRNA from 1 species
GACAGGAGGGUGCAAGCGUUGUUCGGAAUUAUUGGGCGUAAAGCGCGUGUAGGCGGCUUUGCAAGUCGGGUGUGAAAGCCCUCAGCUUAACUGAGGAAGUGCGCCCGAAACUGCUUAGCUUGAGUGCCGAAGAGGAUGGCGGAAUUCCCCAAGUAGAGGUGAAAUGCGUAGAUAUUGGGGAGGAACACCGGUGGCGAAGGCGGCUAUCUGGACCGGUACUGACGCUGAUACGCGAAAGCCAGGGGGAGCAAACGGG